rnacentral:rRNA from 1 species
UACAGAGGAUGCAAGCGUUAUCCGGAAUGAUUGGGCGUAAAGCGUCUGUAGGUGGCUUUUUAAGUCCGCCGUCAAAUCCCAGGGCUCAACUCUGGACAGGCGGUGGAAACUACCAAGCUGGAGUACGGUAGGGGCAGAGGGAAUUUCCGGUGGAGCGGUGAAAUGCGUAGAGAUCGGGAAGAACACCCGUGGCGAAGGCGGUGUGCUGGGUUGCAACUGACGCUGAGAUGCGAAAGUGUGGGGAGCAAACGGG